GUAGGUGGCAAGCGUUGUCCGGAAUUAUUGGGCGUAAAGCGCGCGCAGGCGGUCCUUUAAGUCUGAUGUGAAAGCCCACGGCUCAACCGUGGAGGGUCAUUGGAAACUGGGGGACUUGAGUACAGAAGAGGAAAGCGGAAUUCCAAGUGUAGCGGUGAAAUGCGUAGGGAUUUGGAGGAACACCAGUGGCGAAGGCGGCUUUCUGGUCUGUAACUGACGCUGAGGCGCGAAAGCGUGGGGAGCAAACAGGAUUAGAUACCCUGGUAGUCCACGCCGUAAACGAUGAGUGCUAAGUGUUAGGGGGUUUCCCGCCCCCCUUAGUGCUGCAGCUAACGCAUUAAGCACUCCGCCUGGGGGAGUACGGCCGCAAGGCUG
rnacentral:rRNA from 1 species